AUGGCUUCUUCCGCCGCCGAGCGGCACUCCCCACUUCUUGCUCUGAUGCUUGUGACCGCCGUUCUUCUGCUCUCCUCCUUCUCUGCCCUCGCGGCCGCGGGGGGGCCGAGCGCCUCAGCUGGGCCAACCGCUGUCGCCGCCGGGCGCGCGCGGCAGGACUUCCACGUGGCGACGACGCCAUUGCACGAUGCAGGCGUGACCAAGAACGGCGCGGGGAGACGACCGGUCGGCGGGAGAAGGAGGAGGAGAGCAGACCGCGGGCGCGUACGCGGCGGAGGCACCGGCGCGUGGGCGUUCUCGGGGAUGCUGCCCCGGGGGUUCGUGCCGCCGUCGGGCUCGUCCGCCUGCCACAACGACAUGCCGGCCACCGCCGCCGAUGGACAGUUGUACACAUGCGGCAGCUCCGUGCGACCGUGA
rnacentral:rRNA from 1 species